UCCACAAAAGCGUCUCCUGUUUCAUUGGAGCUGCGUCAGUCAACUGGUUGCCCAUAUGGGGAGCCCGGAGCGCUGAGACCCUCUCUCUGACAAUACAAGGAGCGCUGCGAUCCUCUCUCCGAUGGAACAGAGCGUCAACAGGAAGAAGGCAGUGAACCUGUCUGGGUCCUGGAAUGCCUGAUACGUCCCUGCAAACCACCAGACCCCGACCCAGAGGAAACGUUAACCACAGAACAGGGGAACCAACAGGAGCCUCACAAGCCAGACCUAGCAAGUAUACCCACAACUCCCAUUAACUAUGGCACCUUGGCCAACUCCCCUGGUACUCCAGUUCGCACCGAUUCCAGUAAUGGCGGACUCAGACGAGUUUCCUGUGAUCCAGCUCGGGCCAACUCUCCAAUUGGCUUUCAUAAAAGAAUGGGCAGGAACAGGGGCUCUGGCUACCAUGACUACACUUGCCGCAUUCAGCAGUCUACUUCUGCUCUGUUGGAUUCACAGACAAAGGAAUAGGGACAAAGUAUCAAACAAGCAUUUCUGAUCAUGGAAUCUGGUCAAAGCCUGGCAGCAUGGCUCACCAUGCUGUGAUGCAGGUGUGGAGCAAAGCAUCGCAGGGGGUGUCAUCCUUGGCCAGGUGACACCCCGGUCCCCAUGUUGGUGAGCAUGCGGGUUGGGCUCAUAAAACAAUACUCCCGCCCCCUCCAAAAGAGCACCAACGAGUAGUGAGGCACUGUCAUGACUGCAGCGUGACACCUCACGAGGGGCACCGACCUCUGGAGACCCUGCGUCAGUUAUAAAGAAAGGGGGAGAUGUUGGUCGCAGGCGCUCAACAUACCAUACCCCAUCCGGGACUAAGGACCACGCCAGCUUCCACAAUGCGCUACGUCCCUCUUUAAAUUAGCCAACCCCUGCGAACUUCGUGCUCACUCCGUACUCUGUGGCAACUCCUGAUUGGCCACAGCUGGAUAUGGUAGCCAGAGCCUGCGUCCCAUUCCCACCCUGCUUCCCUGUGGCAGCCUGUGAUUGGUCACUGCCAAAUAUAUAAACCAGAGCCCGCGUAAAUAAACUAGCAGUUAA